rnacentral:tRNA from 1 species
GCGCCCGUAGCUCAAAAGGACAGAGCGUCUGCCUCCUAAGCAGAAGGUUGGCCGUUCGAUUCGGCCCGGGCGCA